GCCUCGGAGGUGUAGUGGCAGCCCGCGUCACUGGUAUGGAUGAAAGCCGGGUUCGACUCCCGUCUGAGGCC